GGGUUGUGAGGUUAAGCGACUAAGCGUACACGGUGGAUGCCCUGGCAGUCAGAGGCGAUGAAGGACGUGCUAAUCUGCGAUAAGCGCCGGUAAGGUGAUAUGAACCGUUAUAACCGGCGAUUUCCGAAUGGGGAAACCCAGUGUGAUUCGUCACACUAUCAUUAACUGAAUCCAUAGGUUAAUGAGGCGAACCGGGGGAACUGAAACAUCUAAGUACCCCGAGGAAAAGAAAUCAACCGAGAUUCCCCCAGUAGCGGCGAGCGAACGGGGAGGAGCCCAGAGCCUGAAUCAGCAUGUGUGUUAGUGGAAGCGUCUGGAAAGGCGCGCGAUACAGGGUGACAGCCCCGUACACAAAAGCGCAUGUGCUGUGAGCUCGAUGAGUAGGGCGGGACACGUGGUAUCCUGUCUGAAUAUGGGGGGACCAUCCUCCAAGGCUAAAUACUCCUGACUGACCGAUAGUGAACCAGUACCGUGAGGGAAAGGCGAAAAGAACCCCGGCGAGGGGAGUGAAAAAGAACCUGAAACCGUGUACGUACAAGCAGUGGGAGCACCCUUUGGGGUGUGA
rnacentral:rRNA from 1 species